rnacentral:rRNA from 1 species
GGCCAUGGGGGGGUGAUAGGCAUGCAGUCGAGCGAUACUUAGGCUGGAGAGGUUGAAGCCGUAAGGCAGAUGCCAAUUCGGCUUAGGAUAUAGCGGCAGACUGGCGAGGAACACGUGAGUAAUCUACCUUCAAGUCGGGGAUAGCUUCGCGAAAGUGGAGGUAAUACCUGAUGUGUUUAGCUUUCCGCAAGGGGAGCUAAGUAAAGAUGCUUCGUAAGAGGUGUCGUUUGAAGAUGAGCUCGCGCCUUAUCAGCUAGUUGGUAGGGUAACGGCCUACCAAGGCUUUGACGGGUAGCUGGCCUGAGAGGGUGGUCAGCCGCAUGGGGACUGAGACACUGCCCCAACUCCUACGGGAGGCUGCAGUCGAGGAUAUUUAGCAAUGGGGGAAACCCUGACUAUGUGACGCCGCGUGAGGGAUGAAGGCCUUCGGGUUGUAAACCUCUUUCGAUAGGGAAGAAACCUCUACCUAAUCAGUAGAGCUGACGGUACCUAGAGAAGAAGCCAUGGCCAACUCUGUGCCAGCAGCCGCGGUAAUACAGAGAUGGCGAGCGUUACUCGGAUUUAUUGGGUGUAAAGGGCAGGUAGGCGGCUAUGCAAGUUGGGGGUGAAAUCCUGUGGCUUAACCACAGAACUGCCUUCAAAACUGCAUGGCUUGAGGCUAGAAGAGGAGAGCGGAAUUCCCGGUGUAAGAGUGAAAUCUGUAGAUAUCGGGAGGAACACCAGUGGCGAAAGCGGCUCUCUGGUCUAGCCCUGACGCUAAGCUGCGAAAGCUAGGGGAGCAAACAGGAUUAGAUACCCUGGUAGUCCUAGCCGUAAACGAUGAGCACUAGGUGUUGGAGGCUUGCCUUCAGCGCCGCAAGUUAACACGUUAAGUGCUCCACCUGGGGACUACGACCGCAAGGUUAAAACUCAAAGGAAUUGACGG